CAAUAACAUUGCGGGGAAAUAGAUCUAGUGAAUAAUAUUUUAAUCUAUCGAUAAAAAAUAACAAUUUGAAAGAGAAGCAAAAACAGCUGAAAAAGAGAGUCACCAAACCUUCAUCGAGAUAGAAUCUACGCCGACUCUUGAGUUCAGCAAGGAUUACAACGUAUAUCUUCCUGAACAAAAGGUAGGUACAUUUUAGAUCUGUUUGUGUUACAUAAAUAUAUUUUUAAAAUAUAGCCCUCUAUAUUGUCUCCAUAACAAUUAUGCUAAAUAAAUCCACCAAAACGACCCCCGAUCCAAACCAAUUCUCACUUAGAUAUUGAACUUAGUUUUAGCAUUCGCUCAAAGAGAAAUCUUUUUUCAAGCUCCAUUUAUAAAUCGUAAAUUUAUGUUCUAAUUUGGAACCUCAAAUUGAAAUAAGUCAGUUAGAAACUUGAAUAUUAGACCCUUUACUCAUCUAAUUUGGGACUAUUUAUGAAAAAUAAUAGGCGCAGAUGUGAUUUUGUAAUAUUGCGCAGGCCUUUCAGAUUUCAUGUUUCGAUCACAUCGUGGUUCUCCGUAAAAUUUACGGAGAGCACCGAUGUGGGACUGAGAUAAAUAGUAUUUUUUCAAAACAAAUUAUGUAUCUGGUCACUGAAAUGUGAAAUAUGAUCGCAGACUGUAGUUAUAAGUUUAUAAAAUUAUUGAAUUAAUAGAUAACAAAUUAUAUAUUUGUAUUAUGUUAAACUCUAUUUGUCUUAAGUUGUAUUUGAAAUUAAAACUUAGGUUUUUUUUACAAACAAAUGUCCAUUGUUGUAUGUUAAUUAGUACGGAAAUCGCCGCCAUUUUGUAACCUGCUGUUUUAUAACGAGGAUGUUGGUUGAUAUUUUUUUACGAACUCCCCCCUUCCUUGUGGUGAUUUUUGAAGACAAAAAAGGAACGAUACUUCAUAGGAAGACGUGAACUCCUGCUGAUGUGCCUGUAUCAUGAGAAGGGAUCAAGGAGAAGAAGCCAGUUGCUGCCUGGUGGCCAGCAACUUGGUGUUUUUACGAUGCUACCGACACCGAUGUGGUACUCGAAGUUCUGAAACCGGCAAAGAAAAAACAACUGGAACUUUGUGGUGAGCAAGAAGAUCUGCACGCUUAGGAAUGCCUUCAAGUGAAUGAGUCAUGCCUCUUGAAGGACAGCUUCCAUGACGACCCCUGCCAGGACGAGGAUGACUUCCACUUUCAUAUGAUGACUUCCACUUUCAUAUGAUGGCUACCAUAUAAUGAUAUCUUCUGUUGAUGAUGUCCACCUCUGGCUACUUUUUAUUGCUGUUAUUACUCCAAAUAAAGAGAAUACUAUA